UGCGUAGGCGGAUUGAUAAGUCAGUGGUGACAACCUUCAGCUUAACUGGAGACUUGCCAUUGAUACUGUUAGUCUUGAGUACGGUCAAGGUAGGCGGAAUGUGUAAUGUAGCGGUGAAAUGCUUAGAUAUUACACAGAACACCGAUUGCGAAGGCAGCUUACUGGGCCAUUACUGACGCUGAGGCACGAAAGCGUGGGGAGCGAACAGGAUUAGAUACCCUGGUAGUCC
rnacentral:rRNA from 1 species